rnacentral:lncRNA from 1 species
UCAUAUUUCAUAUCAGCCCAACUGAAAAAAAACAACAACCACUUUAUUGUACAAUAAGGGAAACCUGAAUAGCUUAGAAGUUGUUACUCAAAAUGUUUGUUUAUUCAAGUAGAAAUUCUUUUUUUUCCUCCAGCUAACCUUCAGAGACAUUUCUAAAUGGAACGUUUUACCUUUUUAAGCACAGUAGGUUACCUACUUACAAGAAGGGCACCCAGUCCCUCUGGUGACAGUUUUGUUAAGGAUUUAAAUCAUCAGCAUAGGCUUAGAACAGAUUAAUGCAGAGCUCUUUGACAGUACUGUGUGAGAGAAAGUAUUUUAGAAAGUACUAACUGGGAAAGUUACUAAUGCCGAAGGACCUACUCAGAAGGAGGGCUCUAUCCAAACAAACAAAAAGUUAAUUAAGACAAGCAAUAGAUAACCAAUAUACAAAGCAUGGCACAGACCACCACAACCAUUUCGGGGCUAAGGAAGGCAGUGGAGGUUGGAUGAUAAAGGAACUUUGUAUAAUAAUGAAUGUGAGAUUAA